rnacentral:rRNA from 1 species
CCUACGGGAGGCAGCAGUGGGGAAUCUUGCGCAAUGGGCGAAAGCCUGACGCAGCCAUGCCGCGUGAAUGAUGAAGGUCUUAGGAUUGUAAAAUUCUUUCACCGGGGACGAUAAUGACGGUACCCGGAGAAGAAGCCCCGGCUAACUUCGUGCCAGCAGCCGCGGUAAUACGAAGGGGGCUAGCGUUGCUCGGAAUUACUGGGCGUAAAGGGAGCGUAGGCGGAUAGUUUAGUCAGAGGUGAAAGCCCAGGGCUCAACCUUGGAAUUGCCUUUGAUACUGGCUAUCUUGAGUGUGGGAGAGGUAUGUGGAACUCCGAGUGUAGAGGUGAAAUUCGUAGAUAUUCGGAAGAACACCAGUGGCGAAGGCGACAUACUGGCCCAUUACUGACGCUGAGGCUCGAAAGCGUGGGGAGCAAACAGGAUUAGAUACCCUGGUAGUCCACGCUGUAAACGAUGAGUGCUAGUUGUCGGUCGAGGCGAUGCCGUCGUCGGGUGGACGCGAGCGUAACGACAUUAAGUACACCUCCGCCGUCGGGGAGGUACGGUCGGCGAAGAAUUAAAACUUAACAAAUAGAAGUUAGACGGCGUGAGACGUGCCGACGGACGACGACGAGGGGAGGUUAGG